GGUGAACGCUAGCGGUGCGCCUAACACAUGCAAGUCGAGCGGUAGACUUUCUAGCUUGCCAGAGAGUUGAGAGCGGCGAACGGGUGAGUAACACGUUGGAAUCUGCCCCAAGUCAGGGAUAGCCCAGGGAAACCUGGAUUAAUACCGGAUAGUCUCUUCGGAGUAAAAAUUUAUUGCUUGGGGAGGAUCCUGCGGUUCAUCAGCUUGUUGGUAAGGUAAUGGCUUACCAAGGCUAUGACGGAUAGCUGGUCUGAGAGGAUGAUCAGCCACAAUGGAACUGAGACACGGUCCAUACUCCUACGGGAGGCAGCAGUGAGGAAUCUUCCACAAUGGACGAAAGUCUGAUGGAGCGACACCGCGUGAAGGAUGAAGGUCUGACGGUUGUAAACUUCUUUUCUGAGGGAGCAUAAUGAGAGUACCUUAGGAAUAAGGGGGGCUAAUUACGUGCCAGCAGCCGCGGUAAUACGUAAUCCCCAAGCGUUACCCGGAAUUACUGGGUGUAAAGGGUUCGUAGGCGGGUUAAUAAGUUGGAUAUGAAAGACCGGAGCUCAACUCCGUGUUAGUGUUCAAAACUAUCAACCUAGAAUCAGGAAGAGGUAAGCGGAAUUCUAAGUGUAGGGGUGCAAUCCGUAGAUACUUAGAAGAACACCAAAAGCGAAGGCAGCUUACUGGUACUGUAUUGACGCUGAGGAACGAAAGCGUGGGUAGCGAAAAGGAUUAGAUACCCUUGUAGUCCACGCCCUAAACGAUGAUAACUAAGUGUUGGGAUUUAUUCUCAGUGCUGAAGCUAACGCGUUAAGUUAUCCACCUGAGGAGUACGGUCGCAAGAUUAAAACUCAAAGGAAUAGACGGGGACCCACACAAGCAGUGGAUCACGUGGUUUAAUUCGACAAUAAACGGGGAAUCUUACCCAGGCUUGACAUCCUAAGAACUCUUUAGAGAUAGAGAGGUGCCCUUACGGGAGCUUAGAGACAGGUGCUGCAUGGUUGUCGUCAGCUCGUGCCUUGAGGUGUUCGGUUAAGUCCGUUAACGAGCGCAACCCAUGUCUUUAGUUAUUAUGUCUAAAGAGACUGCCUUGGUUAACAAGGAGGAAGGUGUGGAUGACGUCAAAUCAGCAUGGCUUUUACGCCUGGGGCUACACACAUGAUACAAUGGUAUGUACAAAGAGCAGCAAAAUCGUAAGGUUGAGCGAAUCUUAAAAGCAUAUCUCAGUCCGGAUUGAGGUCUGCAACUCGACCUCAUGAAGUUGGAAUUGCUAGUAAUCGUGAAUCAGAUAUGUCACGGUGAAUAUGUUCCUGGGUCUUGUACUCACCGCCCGUCACGGCAUGGGAGGUAGUAAUAUCGGAAGCUCCUCUAGUAAUAAGAGGGUCCAUGGUAGGACUACUGACUGGGCUG
rnacentral:rRNA from 1 species